GGAAGUCGAUUGAUGACGUA
rnacentral:siRNA from 1 species